CACAAUAUACGUGACUCAUGACUUUCUGAUAUUCCCGCGCUCAUCAAGCAAAACAAACGUAGCUAACUAGCUAGCGUUAGCUCCUCUUAUAAAUAUAUAUCUUAUAUUCUUAAAUAUUUUAUUUUUUUACAAAUGACAACUGUAACGUUACAUAAAUCUAUAUGGAGGUUGAAACUUUUUGGGGCGUUUUUUUGCCUGGGACCAAAGAAGACGACGGUAAUCCAUGGAAGAUGUUUGAGCCCAGUGAAAGCGCGGGUGAAUUGGUGCUCACCAUUGUGGAAUCCGGUCAUAUGUUGGUGUCCCAAGGUCACGAUCUUCUGGAUGGGUUUUCCUUGCUUGAUGCUCCAAGCUUCCUCAAAGUUCAGCAGAAAUCAGAUACCCUACUUUUCCGUCUGACUGUUAAGGGGGAGAGUUGUUCGAUCGGGAUGCAGUUCAGUGGCAGCAGGGCUGAGGCCCUGGAGGAGCGUGGCAGUGCAGUACUCAGACUGAAGGAGUACCUGCCUGUCACCACACAGGGGGGGCCACCACCACCACUCAGCUGCACCCCAACAUCCAAUCAGCCCCCUACCAAGACCACUGCACAGGAUCAACAGGCGAGUGCUGGGGAGGCUAUGGCUACUGAACCGGAGGUCGUCCAGGGCUCUUUAUCCAUCAAACGUCUUACCCAGCACUUCCUGGGCGAGCAUGGUCUGUCCUUGCCCCUGGUGUCCUUGCCCCUGGUGCCACAGUGCUCUGUUCUGUGGGGAGCUGGAGCCCUUCCUCCGCCUGUGUCUCUUGGACCCCAGCUUCCCUGCCUUGGUGGAGGAGGUGGAAGGGGAGCUGAAGAAAGUGCUCCAGGACUGAGGAGCUAAAGCUCAUCAACACAAACAGCCAGAGGGAGACAGGUCAACUCACUACACACGGGACUCCUGAGAGAACCUGCAAGCCAGACUGUCGUCUUGUGAAACAGUGGAUGUAAAGAAUCUAGCUAGCUAAAGCAUUUACUGCAAAUUCAAUGUACAAUUGUGUUAGCUUGCCUUGCUUAUAUUUGCCAUGCAAUGCAGCUGAAGUAACAUAGCGAGCUAACUAUUUGCUUAUUGUGUAGUGGAAGAUGAAAAUAACUGUAUUCCUAUGAAUGUGUAGCUAGCUACAGUAUGUAGCCGAUCUGUGUAUGGACCCUUAAAAGGUUAGGUUCUGAACUAAUAUUCAUACCAAUGAACCUCAGCUAUCAUAGUUGUAUCAACUUCAAGUCUGAAUGGCAUUAAUGAAGCCUAUGGAUUGAGUAGAAUAUAAUAACUUUAUUGUGCCAAGGAUGCAAGUCCUAUAUACAUGUACUGUUAUUACCAUGCAUGAGAUCCCCACAUUGUAGCCUGUACAUUGACUAUAUUCACUGAUCAUGUACACUUCCUUGGCAAAUAAAGGUGCGGUU